rnacentral:rRNA from 1 species
GACGAACGCUGGCGGCGUGCUUAACACAUGCAAGUCGAACGGUAAGGCCCUUUCGGGGGUCCACGAGUGGCGCACGGGUGAGUAACACGUGGGUGAUCUGCCCUGCACUUUGGGAUAAGCCUGGGAAACUGGGUCUAAUACCGGAUAGGACUACGCGAUGCAUGUCGUGUGGUGGAAAGCUUUUGCGGUGUGGGAUGGGCCCGCGGCCUAUCAGCUUGUUGGUGGGGUGAUGGCCUACCAAGGCGACGACGGGUAGCCGGCCUGAGAGGGUGUCCGGCCACACUGGGACUGAGAUACGGCCCAGACUCCUACGGGAGGCAGCAGUGGGGAAUAUUGCACAAUGGGCGCAAGCCUGAUGCAGCGACGCCGCGUGGGGGAUGACGGCCUUCGGGUUGUAAACCCCUUUCAGCACAGACGAAGCGUAAGUGACGGUAGGUGCAGAAGAAGCACCGGCCAACUACGUG